rnacentral:rRNA from 1 species
AACGAACGCUGGCGGCAUGCCUAACACAUGCAAGUCGAACGAGACCUUCGGGUCUAGUGGCGCACGGGUGCGUAACGCGUGGGAACCUGCCCUUAGGUUCGGAAUAACUCCCCUAAAGGGGUGCUAAUACCGGUUAAUUUCUUCUGACCAAAGAUUUAUCGCCUUUGGAUGGUCCCGCGUUGGAUUAGCUUGUUUGUAGUGUAAAAGCCUACCAAGGCCACGAUCCAUAGCUGGUCUGAGAGGAUGAUCAGCCACACUGGGACUGAGACACGGCACAGACUCCUACGGGAGGCAGCAGUGGGGAAUAUUGGAAAAUGGGCGAAAGGCUGAUCCAGCAAUGCCGCGGGAGUGAUGAAGGCCUUAGGGUUGUAAAGCUCUUUUAACCGGGAUGAUAAUGACAGUACCGGGAGAAUAAGCACCGGCUAACUACGUG